GUGAAAUUCCGUCGGAAUCUGGGAGGACCAUCUCCUAAGGCUAAAUACUCUCUAGUGACCGAUAGUGAACCAGUACCGUGAGGGAAAGGUGAAAAGCACCCCGGAAGGGGAGUGAAAUAGAACCUGAAACCGUGUGCUUACAAGUAGUCAGAGCCCGUUAAUGGGUGAUGGCGUGCCUUUUGUAGAAUGAACCGGCGAGUUACGAUUUGAUGCAAGGUUAAGCAGUAAAUGUGGAGCCGUAGCGAAAGCGAGUCUGAAUAGGGCGUUUAGUAUUUGGUCGUAGACCCGAAACCAGGUGAUCUACCCUUGGUCAGGUUGAAGUUCAGGUAACACUGAAUGGAGGACCGAACCGACUUACGUUGAAAAGUGAGCGGAUGAACUGAGGGUAGCGGAGAAAUUCCAAUCGAACCUGGAGAUAGCUGGUUCUCUCCGAAAUAGCUUUAGGGCUAGCCUCAAGUGAUGAUUAUUGGAGGUAGAGCACUGUUUGGACGAGGGGCCCCUCUCGGGUUACCGAAUUCAGACAAACUCCGAAUGCCAAUUAAUUUAACUUGGGAGUCAGAACAUGGGUGAUAAGGUCCGUGUUCGAAAGGGAAACAGCCCAGACCACCAGCUAAGGUCCCAAAAUAUAUGUUAAGUGGAAAAGGAUGUGGCGUUGCC
rnacentral:rRNA from 1 species